GGGAGGCUGGUCUACAUCAUUUCGGUGCGGGGGCGAUGCGGGCGAUUUGAAUUCGGGCUGAUUUGACGGCCGGCGUGGGGAAAUGGGAAAGGGAGGUGCCCUCUUUUAGUGCCUGAUUGGUUUUGACUGUCUGUUGGGAAUUUUAGUGUCAAAAAGCCUUACGUUUCGUAUAAGGGUGGGAGAAAGAUGGCCAGACAUCUUUUGCUUUUGAUCAAAGUCAAAGUUACCGAUUUCCCAGUUGUUGUUUGCUUUGGUUUGAUGAAUCUCUUAGCUGCUGCCGCACGGAAAUUUAGCUACUUUAUUAUGAUCUUCUGAGCAGUGUGGUGUUGAGGAGAUGUCAUAGGGGAGGUGGUGAGGGCGAUUGUAACCGCAUGAUUCGAAUUUGGGUGAUUCCUUCUAGACUAUUGCCAGGAUCUUAUUCAAUUCUCAGUUUCAUAGAAGAAUAAGAACUCUGGGGCAUUGCACUAAUAUGACCAUGAAAUUACCAAGAGCGUUGCACACUGUACUGUAACCCAACCAGCCACAAGCUCAGUAGACGAAAUAACUUGUUCAAGUUAUGGCCAAAAGUUAGUUUGGUUAUUUCCUGGUAAAUAACAGUCCGUGGCUGAUGGUACCUUCAUAGUUCUUUGUUUUAUAUAAAGUUCAGAUGACUUUUUUGUCUAUGUGGACUUGUUGUAAUAGUAUGUGAGCUGUUCUUUACAAUGCGAUCCUGUUAAGCAGUCAGAUAGUGUUCCUCUAUCAGUAUUUCAUAGUGAUGCGUGGAUUUUCAUUUGCUUGAUUGACAAAUAACUAUCGAUUGUUUAUUUGCUUCAUUGACUAGUAACUGGAGUCUCCUAUAGUUCUACCAAAUACCAAUGUAUAGUGUAAACUGUGUAACGUUUUCCUCCCAGCUUAUAAGCUCACUGCCUGCACAUUUUAAAACGAGUUCCAAGAAUAUUUGGUAUAAUGAUAUAAAAAAAUCCAGUUAUGCUUUCUAAUAUCAUGCUUAUCUGUUUCUUGUUUUCAGGCCACUUCCCUCUUACCAUUUUAUGUUUAUACCAAGCAUGAAAGAGGGUAUAUUAAGGGGAGGGAGAGAACAUUAAUAAAGUUAGAAGUUCUUACUCGUAACCAGUUACUCCCUCCGUCGUGUUUAUUAGGCCACCGGGCCGAAGUGCUGAGACCAAGGCACAACACGUGCGGUUGUGCAGUUUUGAAUCGGCCCUAUUAGGAUGCAUCGGUUAGCGGCAUUAAUUAGUGAAACCGUCUCACCUCCCUCAUGAAUGUAGUGACUGGGGAUUUAUUUUCCUCAGUCAGUGGAUGGAACGAGCAACGGAAUUUGCACUACUUAAUUACAGCGCGCCUAAUACGAACGCGGCUCGCUGGUUCUCUGGCCUAAUAAAUGCCGGCAGAGGAAGUAUUUGACUUUCUAUUAGUGCCCCAUGAAAAGUUCUAAGUAGCCAAUAUAUUUUGCUUGCAUCCAACUUCACACUGAAUGUGCAGUCUAGAGUCAAGAUAUUCAUCAUUGAUGCUUGUUCAUGGGCCUCAUAUUGUUAUUAGGGUUUAUGCUUUGUUGCUUGGAUUUCUUUUUUCUGUCAUUAUCAUCUGAAGCUAAUGCACUCUUGAUAUACUUUAUUAGAAUAUGUUUCUGUCAUUACACUCUGAAACUAAUGCACUUCUUCCUUAAUCUUGUUCUUGUUCUAGAGUGCAAUAGCUUCCAUUUUUAAUGACUUCCUGCUAUUUUUUCAUGCCUCCAGAAUGUGGAAAGUACAUGUUGGAACCAUCAAAGGUAAAAAUCGAAGCAGAAGAAUGUGAUACCUAUGAGGAAACCGGUGAGGAGCCUGUAGCUAUGAUAGAAGAAUCUCCACCUGAUAUUGGACAAGAUGGUCAGUGCAAUUGAAUAUCUUACGAAUUACUCCGAAAUAAGUGGCAGUCAGGUUUAGAAAAUUGAACACACAUGCACACGGAAUUCGGUGCGCCCAUGCCAAAUAAUUAACAUGAUUUUUGGAUAUCUGCUAAGUUUAGCAAUCAUUGGUACUGACCAUAUGUGAUCAGAGUUAGUUGCUGACACGAUGUAUCAGAGUGAGUAACUCAUCCCUUUGUAUUGUAACUGUGGAGACGUGCUGUUACUGAUGGUGAACCUUUUCUUCUAGCCGUUCCUUUGACAAUAUCAAUAUUUUGUAGGCAUUUAGUAAUCAGUUUAAAUGCCUCACUUGACUGUAGAUUGUUCGAGGUUUAUAUGAGCUUUAUCACUUGUUUCUUGCGACUCCACCUAAAUAGCUAGGAACAAUUGGGUUAUGUUGGAUGGAUUAUACUUCUGUGAUAUAUAAUUCUGAGAUAUUUAAUCAUAAGUUGUGUGCAAUUGUUAUCCUUGUGGACGAACUAAGUUUACAUUUUGAAGUUACCAGAUCUCUGACGUUUGUGCACCAUGUGGUAACUGAUAACUCAUAUGAUUCAGUAAAAGAUGUGAAUAUUGUGCUACAAGUACGUUAAGAAUCGAUGCUGCUGCUGUGCACUAUUUUGUUCCUUUAUACUAUGUGGCAUUUUGCUGCCUGCUUCAUUAGACUUUGUUGUCUGUAUUAGGUGAGGAUGGAGAAAACAGUGACUCAUCCUGGAAUAUGGAGUGUAAUCAGGUUUUGAGAGUGAAAUCUAUCUAUAUCAGCUCUGCAAUUCUAGCAGCAAAAAGUCCCUUUUUUUACAAGGUAAUUCUAAUUUCUGCAUGAAAUGAGUAAAUUGCGCACUGCAGUUAUAUAUUCUUAUCUAGCUAACAUUGUCAUAACAUUCAUCUUGUUAGCUUUUCUCAAAUGGCAUGAAAGAAUCCGAUCAGAGGCAUGCUACUCUUAGAAUAACUACUUCAGGUAAUGCGGGAGCUCCAGUAGGACACUCGGCAUUUUAAUUGUUCUAUCCUAGCUGCUGUAUAAUUUUCUUCAAUGUCUGAACGAUCGAUUUUGUAGCACUGGCAUGAUCAGUCUCAAUGAGGUUAUUGACGGUUGAAUUUUCAGUUGAGCUAUCAAGUUGAUUGUCUAUACCCUACCAUUUUGCAUCUUUCAUCUUUCAUCUCCCAGGAAUAAGGAUAUUGUACCUUACUCAAAAGCUUUUCAAAUCUAUAUUAUCAAACACAGUCUCAGUUUUUUUUUUGCCUUUUAGUUAACAGUUACCUUAUGUCUGAUUGUUGUAUUUCUACUUGGAACAGAGGAAAGUGCCCUUAUGGAGCUUUUAAGCUUUAUUUACAGUGGAAAGUUGACGACAAAUGAGCCAACCCUUCUGCUUGAUAUCUUGAUGAUAUCUGAUAAAUUUGAAGUUGUUUCUUGCAUGAGACACUGCAGUCAAUUGCUAAGGAGCUUACCUAUGACCACAGAAUCUGCACUUCUCUAUCUAGAUCUGCCUUCCAGCAUUUCAAUGGCUGCAGCAGUUCAGCCACUGACUGAUGCUGCCAAGGAAUUCCUCGCUAACAAAUACAAGGAUCUGACCAAGUGGGUAGUCUCUUUAUUUAAAGAGCCAACUAAAUUAUUGAAAGAGUAACAUUGUUGAACUAAAGGAAUGCUUCCUCUUUCCAGGUUUCAGGAUGAAGUGAUGAACAUUCCCCUUGCUGGGAUUGAAGCCAUCCUAUGUAGUAAUGACCUUCAGGUGGCAUCAGAGGAUGCAGUCUAUGACUUUGUGAUCAAGUGGGUUCGUGCUCAGUACCCAAGAACGGAAGAAAGACGUGAAAUCUUGGGUACUCGCUUGCUGCCGCUCGUUCGGUUCUCUCAUAUGACCUGCAGGAAGUUGCGGAAGGUCCUUGCGUGCAGUGAUCUGGAUCAUGAGCAAGCAUCUAAAAGUGUCACUGACGCACUCCUGUACAAAGCUGAUGCACCACAUCGACAGCGCGCCCUUGCUGCAGAUGUGUUGACUUGUAGGAAAUAUACUGAACGAGCUUACAAGUAUCGCCCGCUUAAGGUGGUGGAAUUUGAUCAACCAUAUCCUCAGUGCGUAGCAUACUUGGAUCUGAAGCGUGAGGAGUGUAGCCGACUUUUCCCUUCCGGGCGGAUUUACUCGCAAGCAUUCCAUCUCGCUGGACAGGGAUUCUUCCUGUCAGCACAUUGCAACAUGGAUCAGCAAAGUGCUUUCCACUGCUUUGGUCUCUUCUUAGGGAUGCAAGAGAAGGGCUCAUCGAGUGUUACCGUGGACUAUGAGUUUGCUGCAAGGACAAGGCCAUCGGGCGAUUUUGUCAGCAAGUACAAGGGCUACUACACCUUCACUGGUGGAAAGGCAGUUGGCUACCGGAAUCUCUUCGCGAUUCCAUGGCCGUCGUUUAUGGCUGAUGACGGCCUCUUCUUCAUCGAUGGAGUACUACAUCUGAGAGCGGAACUGACCAUAAAGCAAUCAUAGAUAGUGGAAAAUCUUGUGUGGUUCAAACAUGUUUUUCCUAAGCACCAAAAUAGACACUUUUGAACCGAGAAGCAAAAUCUGUGAACUGUGAAAGCUGAAAAGCAACAUCUUAUGAACUGUGAAGGUGUAGUUGCGCCACAUGCGUUUUUUUUUCUUAAUGCGUAGCACUACAUGAGUUAAAUUUGCUGUUUGUUGAAAUUUCUACUCGUUUUGAUAGUGAUCCUUUCAGGGACAUCCUUUUGAUAGUGACAUGUUCCAAGUUAGUACAAAGUUGAGUCAUCUAUUUGGAACCGAGGGAGUAGAAUGUAGUCAAGGUACACAUAGCCUUUGCUAAGUGAUGUUAAGAAGCAAGUUAGUUCUAUAGAAAAGAAAAGGGUUACUUCAAACGAUAGAUUUUGCAUCUUAUACUGCACUUGGAAUCGAUGUAUUUCGAUACGGAGGUGUUUAACUUACACCCGCAUCUUACCGGCCGUAAAGCACUUUAUGCUUGAAAAUGAAACGACGGGUGGAGACGUGUAUUAUUUACAACUACAUUUAAAAGAAAAAACAGGAAUCCAAACAGGGCCUUAGACCCCGCUUGGAUUUGGGGUAAGUUUAUACACCCGGAUUUAAUUUACAGGUGUAAAUUAAUUGUUGCGACAUGUUUCCGUCUGGAAUAAAAACUACAGCUGGAGGUAUUCGGGAGGCAACCGACAAUCCAAGCAUGGCCUUAGGUCCUGCUUGGAAUCGGCGUAACUUUUUACACCUGUAUUUAUUUUACACGUGUAUAUCACCGGCCAUUUGUGAUUUCUACCUGAAAAAAAUAAACAACCGAUGAAGGCGUGUAUAUUUUACAGACGGAUACCGCUCGGAAACGAGAAUCCAAUUAGGGCCUACUGUGUUUCCUUUUAGAAACUGCUAGGUAUUGCAAUAUGCUCUAUUUGUUUAGUUUGCGGCUUGGCGAUGGUCUUGUUGGCAAAAUUUUGGUCAUUUGGCAAUAUGGCUGUAGAUUGAAUGCUACUUCCUCGUUUCAUGAAAUCUCUUAAAAGACUCAUACUUAGAAACGGAGGGAGUAUGUUUUUUCGAACCAUCGGGGAAAUUCCUCCCACCUAAUUUGGAACUUGGAGUUUUUCACUAGUACCAAAGGGACCGGGGGGAUGUGAAGGACCCCUCCCCUUCACCCAAUCCCCUCAACCCCUCCUAGUCUGCACUAGAGAUGUGCUUGGGUAGAGAAUACACGGGGAAGUGAUGGAUUAUGGAUGAGCUUAGGCCCAUAUAAGACAAUAAUCUCUGGUUAAUCUCUAAGGCUCAUGCAUGUGUACGGCAAGUGGUAGGAAGUGUGGGAAGUUUAGUACCAUACUGCUACAGUAGGAAGAGUGAGGCCUCUUUAUAAGGGCUGCUCUACCACUUGCUAUUGGGAGCUUGGAAAUAGGAGUUGUACACGUGCGCUCCUCCUCCGCCGCUCGCAUCGCCUCGUCACGACGCGCGCGCGCCGCGGGUUGCGUGAAUGAGCCGAGCCGAAGCUUAUUUUUGCCGGUCAGAAGUGGUUAAUUAAUUGUUAAUUAAUUAACGAGUCGAGAUCCUCCCCGGGAGAACGGCAAUAAGGUUUUUAGGGAGCGUCUCGACGCGACUGCUCCCGAUCCGUCCCCGUCUCUGUCCACCUCUGCUUCCACUACUUCCCCUGCAUCGACUCCAUGGCUGACGACGAAGCCGCCAAGAAGAAAGCCUCCGCCGCGUUGGCCUCACCAACCGGAGGGUAUGACACAUUCAUCCCCUAUUUGCUCGUUCAUUGUUGGCCGUAUAUAUGUUGUUCAUAGAUGUUUCGAUUCUAUGUACUGUAUGUGCGCACAUGCUUAGUUACCGGUAUGAGAUGCAUACCUUAUUUGCUAUGCUUAUUGUUUACUCGUGGAUGGUAAAGUGCUAAUAUUUCCAACAAUCCAAAAACCUUAUUUUAGGCAUUUUUCGACUCAUGGCUUCGCCGCUACACUGAAGCCGAAAAAGUUUAUCGGGACGCAUUUUGAGCAUUGGCAGACAAGGACUACCUUGUGGCUCACAACAAUGAACAUGUUCUGGGUUAGUGGUGUGUCUCCCACGGUAACGAUUGCUCCUGAACAUGAGAAUGCAUUUAGGGAGGCAACCACCAUCUUCGUGGGAGCCGUUUUUACUAUGAUCGGAGACAAGCUAGUCUACGCAUACCUCCAUAUGCGUGUUGCCAAUAAUUUGUGGGAUGCGCUUGAAGCUAAAUUCGGCGCAACCGAUGCUGGAAGCGAGUUGUAUGCUAUGGAGCAGUUCCAUGAUUACAAAAUGGUUGAUAACCGUUCUGUGUUGGACCAGGCCCAUGAGAUACAAUGCAUCUCUAAGGAACUAGAGCUCCUGAAGUGUGAGUUACCGGACAAGUUUAUCGUGGGUUGCAUUAUUGCAAAACUCCCUCCUGGAUGGAGGAACUUUGCUACUUCUCUCAAGCACUUGAGACGUGAAUUCUCUGUUGAGGAUGUCAUCGGUCAUCUAAGUGUUGAGCAGAACUCGAGAGCAAAGGACUCACACGUGAAAGGGGCAGAGGGUUCUUCUAGCGUUGAUGACCCACAAGUAUAUGGGAUCAAUUGUAGCCUUUUCAAUAAGUAAGAGUGUCGAACCCAAUGAGGAGCGGAAGGAAAUGACAAGUGAUUUUCAGCAAGGUAAUGUGUGCAAGUGCUGAAAUUGUAAGUAACAUAGUAGUUUGAUAGCAAGAUAAUUUGUAAUGAGCAAGUAACGGUAGUAGUAACAAAAGUGCAGCAAGGUGAAGGAAAUAUGCCCUAGAUGCAAUAAUAAAGUUAUUAUUUAUUUCCUCAUAUCAUGAUAAAUGUUUAUUAUUCAUGCUAGAAUUGUAUUAACCGGAAACAUGAUACAUGUGUGAAUACAUAGACAAACUUAAUGUCACUAGUAUGCCUCUACUUGACUAACUCAUUAAUCAAAGAUGGUUAUGUUUCCUAACCAUAGACAUGUGUUGUCAUUUGAUUAAAGAAAUCACAUCAUUAGGAGAAUGAUGUGAUUGACUUGAACCAUUCCGUUAGCCUAGCACUUGAUCGUUUAGUAUGUUGCUAUUGCUUUCUUCAUGACUUAUACAAAGUUCCUACAACUAUGAGAUUAUGCAACUCCCGUUUACCGGAGGAACACUUUGUGUGCUACCAAACGUCACAACGUAACUGGGUGAUUAUAAAGGAGCUCUACAGGUGUCUCCAAAGAUAGAUGUUGAGUUGGUGUAUUUCGAGAUUAGGUUUUGUCACUCCGAUUGUCGGAGAGGUAUCUCUAGGCCCUCUCGGUAAUGCACAUCACAAUAAGCCUUGCGAGCAAUGUGGCCAAUGAGUUGGUUACGGAAUGAUGCAUUACGUAACGAGUAAAGAGACUUGCCAGUAACAAGAUUGAACUAGGUAUUGGAUACCGACGAUCGAAUCUCGGGCAAGUAACAUACCGAUGACAAAGGGAACAACGUAUGUUGUUAUGCGGUUUGACCGAUAAAGAUCUUCGUAGAAUAUGUAGGAGCCAAUAUGAGCAUCCAGGUUCCGCUAUUGGUUAUUGACCGGAAACAGUUCUAGGUCAUGUCUACAUAGUUCUCGAACCCGUAGGGUCCGCACGCUUAAAGUUACGAUGACAAUUUUAUUAUGAGUUUAUAUGUUUUGAUUUACCGAAGGUUGUUCGGAGUCCCGGAUGUGAUCCCAGACAUGACGAGGAGUCUCGAAAUGGUCGAGACAUAAAGAUUGAUAUAUUGGAAGCCUAUAUUUGGAUAUCGGAAUCGUUCCGGGAGAAACCGGGAUUUUUCCGGAGUACCGGGGGGUUACUGGAACCCCCCGGGGGUUAAUGGGCCUACACGGGCCUUGAGGGAGAAGAGGAGGGCCGCCAGGGCAGGCCGCGCGCCCCCCUUUCCUCUUUCCCCUCCCCCCUUUCCUUCUCCACCAAGGCAAGAGGGGGGAGUCCUACUCCCACCGGGUGGGAGUAGGACUCCUCCAGGCGCACCCCUAAGGGGCCGGCCGCACCUUCCCCCUCUCCUUUAUAUACGGGGGCAGGGGGGCACCUCUCGACACAAGUUGAUCAUCGUGAUCGUUCCUUAGCCGUGUGCGGUACCCCCUCCACCAUAUUCCACCUCGGUCAUAUCGUUGCGGUGCUUAGGCGAAGCCCUGCGUCGGUAGAACAUCAUCAUUGUCACCACGCCAUCGUGCUGACGGAACUCAUCCCCGACACCCUGCUUGAUCGGAGUCCGGGGAUAGUCGUCGAGCUGAACGUGUGCUGAACUCGGAGGUGCUGUACGUUCGGUGCUUGGAUCGGUCGGAUCGUGAAGACAUACGACUACAUCAACCGCGUUGUCAUAACGUUUCCUCUUUCGGUCUACGAGGGUACGUGGACACACUCUCCCCUCUCGUUGCUAUGCAUCACCAUGAUCUUGCGUGUGCGUAGGAAUUUUUUUGAAAUUACUACGUUCCCCAACAGUGGCAUCCGAGCCUAGGUUUUAUGCGUUGAUGUUAUAUGCACGAGUAGAACACAAGUGAGUUGUGGGCGAUACAAGUCAUACUGCUUACCAGCAUGUCAUACUUUGGUUCAGCGGUAUUGUUGGAUGAAGCGGCCCGGACCGACAUUACGCGUACGCUUACGCGAGACUGGUUUUACCGACGUGCUCUGCACACAGGUGACUAGCGGGUGUCUAUUUCUCCAACUUUAGUUGAACCGAGUGUGGCUGCGCCCGAUCCUUGCGAAGGUUAAAACAACACUAACUUGACGAACUAUCAUUGUGGUUUUGAUGCGUAGGUAAGAACAGUUCUUGCUCAGCCCGUAGCAGCCACGUAAAAUUUGCAACAACAAAGUAGAGGACGUCUAACUUGUUUUUGCAGGGCAUGUUGUGAUGUGAUAUGGUCAAGACGUGAUGCUAUAUUUUAUUGUAUGAGAUGAUCAUGUUUUGUAACCGAAGUUAUCGGCAACUGGCAGGAGCCAUAUGGUUGUCGCUUUAUUGUAUGAAAUGCAAACGCCCUAUAAUUGCUUUACUUUAUCACUAAGCAGUAGCGAUAGUCGUAGAAGCAAUAGAUGGCGUAACGACAACGAUGCUACGAUGGAGAUCAAGGUGUCGCACCGGUGACGAUGGUGAUCACGACAGUGCUUUGGAGAUGGAGAUCACAAGCACAAGAUGAUUAUGGCCAUAUCAUAUCACUUAUAUUGAUUGCAUGUGAUGUUUAUCCUUUAUGCAUCUUAUCUUGCUUUGAUUGACGGUAGCAUUUUAAGAUGACCUCUCACUAAAUUAUCAAGAAGUGUUCUCCCUAAGUAUGCACCGUUGCGAAAGUUCUUCGUGCUGAGACACCACGUGAUGAUCGGGUGUGAUAGGCUCUACGUUCAAAUACAACGGGUGCAAAAUAGUUGCACACGCGGAAUACUCAGGUUAAACUUGACGAUCCUAGCAUAUACAGAUAUGGCCUCGGAACACGGAGACCAAAAGGUCGAACGUGUAUCAUAUAGUAGAUAUGAUCAACAUAGUGAUGUUCACCAUUGAAACUACUCCAUCUCACGUGAUGAUCGGACAUGGUUUAGUUGAUUUGGAUCACAUGAUCGCUUAGAUGACUAGAGAGAUGUCUGUCUAAGUGGGAGUUCUUAAGUAAUAUGAUUAAUUGAGCUUAAAUUUAUCAUGAACUUAGUACCUGAUAGUAUUUUGCUUGUCUAUGUUUGAUGUAGAUAGAUGGCUCGUGCUGUUGUUUCGUUGAAUUUUAAUGCGUUCCUUGAGAAAGCUAAGUUGAAAGAUGAUGGUAGCAAUUACACGGACUGGGUCCGUAACCUGAGGAUUAUCCUCAUUGCUGCACAAAAGAAUUACGUCCUGGAAGCACCGCUAGGUGCCAGGCCUGCUGCUGAUGCAACUGACGACGUUAAGAACGUCUGGCAGAGCAAAGCUGAUGACUACUCGAUAGUUCAGUGUGCCAUGCUUUAUGGCUUGGAACCGGGUCUUCAACGAUGUUUUGAACGUCAUGGAGCAUAUGAGAUGUUCCAGGAGUUGAAGUUAAUAUUUCAAGCAAAUGCCCGGAUUGAGAGAUAUGAAGUCUCCAAUAAGUUCUAUAGCUGUAAGAUGGAGGAGAAUAGUUCUGUCAGUGAACACAUACUCAAAAUGUCUGGGUAUAAUAAUCACUUGAUUCAACUGGGAGUUAAUCUUCCUGAUGAUAGUGUCAUUGACAGAAUUCUUCAAUCACUGCCACCAAGCUACAAGAGCUUCGUGAUGAACUAUAAUAUGCAAGGGAUGGACAAGACUAUUCCUGAGCUCUUCGCAAUGCUAAAGGCUGCGGAGGUAGAAAUCAAGGAGCAUCAAGUGUUGAUGGUCAAUAAGACCACCAGUUUCAAGAAAAAGGGCAAAGGGAAGAAGAAGGGGAACUUCAAAAAGAACAGCAAACAAGUUGCUGCUCAAGAGAAGAAACCCAAGUCUGGACCUAAGCCUGAGAUUGAGUGCUUCUACUACAAGCAGACUGGACACUAGAAGCGGAACUGCCCCAAGUAUUUGGCGGAUAAGAAGGAUGGUAAAGUGAACAAAGGUAUAUGUGAUAUACAUGCUAUUGAUGUGUACCUUACUAAUGCUCGCAGUAGCACCUGGGUAUUUGAUACUGGUUCUGUUGCUAAUAUUUGUAACUCGAAACAGGGACUACGGAUUAAGCGAAGAUUGGCUAAGGAAGAGGUGACGAUGCGCGUGGGAAAUGGUUCCAAAGUCGAUGCGAUCGCAGUCGGCACGCUACCUCUACAUCUACCAUCGGGAUUAGUUUUAGACCUAAAUAAUUGUUAUUUGGUGCCAACGUUAAGCAUGAACAUUAUAUCUGGAUCUUGUUUGAUGCGAGACGGUUAUUCAUUUAAAUUAGAGAAUAAUGGUUGUUCUAUUUAUAUGAGUAAUAUCUUUUAUGGUCAUGCACCCUUGAAGAGUGGUCUAUUUUUAUUAAAUCUCGAUAGUAGUGAUACACAUAUUCAUAAUGUUAAAACCAAAAGAUGCAGAGUUGAUAAUGAUAGUGCAACUUAUUUGUGGCGCUGCCGUUUAGGUCAUAUCGGUGUAAAACGCAUGAAGAAACUCCAUACUGAUGGACUUUUGGAAUCACUUGAUUAUGAAUCACUUGGUACUUGCGAACCGUGCCUCAUGGGCAAGAUGACUAAAACGCCGUUCUCCGGAACUAUGGAGCGACCAACUAAUUUGUUAGAAAUCAUACAUACCGAUGUAUGUGGUCCAAUGAAUGUCGAAGCUCGUGGCGGGUAUCAUUAUUUUCUCACCUUCACAGAUGAUUUGAGCAGAUAUGGAUAUAUCUACUUGAUGAAACACAAGUCUGAAACAUUUGAAAAGUUCAAAGAAUUUCAGAGUGAAGUAGAAAAUCAUCGUAACAAGAAAAUAAAAUUUCUACGAUCUGAUCGUGGAGGAGAAUAUUUGAGUUAUGAGUUUGGUUUACAUUUGAAACAAUGUGGAAUAGUUUCGCAACUCACGCCACCCGGAACACCACAACAAAAUGGUGUGUCCAAACGUCGUAAUCGUACUUUACUGGAUAUGGUGCGAUCUAUGAUGUGUCUUACCGAUUUACCGCUAUUGUUUUGGGGUUAUGCUUUAGAGACGGCCGCAUUCACGUUAAAUAGGGCACCAUCAAAAUCCGUUGAGACGACGCCUUAUGAACUAUGGUUUGGCAAGAAACCAAAGUUGUCGUUUCUUAAAUUUUGGGGUUGCGAUGCUUAUGUGAAGAAACUUCAACCAGAUAAGCUCGAACCCAAGUCGGAGAAAUGUGUCUUCAUAGGAUACCCAAAAGAGACUAUUGGGUACACCUUCUAUCACAGAUCAGAGGGCAAGAUUUUCGUUGCUAAAUUCGGAUCCUUUCUAGAGAAGGAGUUUCUCUCGAAAGAAGUGAGUGGGAGGAAAGUAGAACUUGAUGAGGUAACUGUACCUGCUCCCUUAUUGGAAAGUAGUUCAUCACAAGAACCGGUUCCCGUGACAACUACACCAAUUAGUGAGGAAGCUAAUGAUAUUGAUCAUGAAACUUCAGAUCAAGUUUCUACUGAACCUCGUAGGUCUACCAUAGUAAGAUCCGCACCAGAGUGGUACGGUAAUCCUAUUCUGGAAGUCAUGUUACUUGACCAUGGCGAACCUACGAACUAUGAGGAAGCGAUGAUGAGCCCAGAUUCCGCAAAAUGACUUGAAGCGAUGAAAUCUGAGAUAGGAUCCAUGUAUGCGAACAAAGUAUGGACUUUGGUUGACUUGCUCGAUGAUCGGCAAGCCAUUGAGAAUAAAUGGAUUUUCAAGAAGAAGACUGACGCUGAUGGUACUGUAACUAUCUACAAAGCUCGACUUGUUGCAAAAGGUUUUCGACAAGUUCAAGGGGUUGACUAUGAUGAGACUUUCUCACCCGUAGCGAUGCUUAAGUCUGUCCGAAUCAUGUUAGCAAUUGCCGCAUUUUAUGAUUAUGAAAUUUGGCAAAUGGAUGUAAAAACUGCAUUCCUGAAUGGAUUUCUGGAAGAAGAGUUGUAUAUGAUGCAACUGGAAGGUUUUGUCGAUCCAAAAAGUGCUAACAAAGUGUGCAAGCUCCAGCGAUCCAUUUAUGGACUGGUGAAAGCAUCUCGGAGUUGGAAUAAACGCUUUGAUAGUGUGAUCAAAGCAUAUGGAUUUAUACAGACUUUUGGAGAAGCCUGUAUUUACAAGAAAGUGAGUGGGAGCUCUGUAGCAUUUCUGAUAUUAUAUGUAGAUGACAUAUUGUUAAUUGGAAAUGAUAUAGAAUUUCUGGAUAGCAUAAAGGGAUACUUGAAUAAAAGUUUUUCAAUGAAAGACCUUGGUGAAGCUGCUUACAUAUUGGGCAUCAAGAUCUCUAGAGAUAGAUCAAGACGUUUAAUUGGACUUUCACAAAGCACAUACCUUGAUAAAGUUUUGAAAAAGUUCAAAAUGGAUCAGGCAAAGAAAGGGUUCUUGCUUGUAUUGCAAGGUGUGAAGUUGAGUCAGACUCAAUGCCCGAUCACAAAAGAAGAUAGAGAGAAAAUGAAAGAUGUUCCCUAUGCUUCAGCCAUAGGCUCUAUCGUGUAUGCAAUGCUGUGUACCAGACCUGAUGUAUCCUUUGCAAUAAGUUUAGCAGGGAGGUACCAAAGUAAUCCAGGAGUGGAUCACUGGACAGCGGUCAAGAACAUCCUAAAAUACCUGAAAAGGACUAAGGAUAUGUUUCUCGUUUAUGGAGGUGACAAAGAGCUAGUCGUAAAUGGUUACGUCUAUGCAAUCUUUGACACUGAUCCGGACGAUUCUAAAUCGCAAACCGGAUACAUGUUUUUAUUAAACGGUGGAGCUGUAAGUUGGUGCAGUUCUUAGCAAAGCGUCGUGGCGAGAUCUACAUGUGAAGCGGAGUACAUAGCUGCUUCUGAAGCAGUAAAUGAAGGAGUCUGGAUGAAGGAGUUCAUUUCCGAUCUAGGUGUCAUACCUAGUGCAUCGGGACCAACGAAGAUCUUCUGUGACAAUACUGGUGCAAUUACCUUGGCAAAGGAAUCCAGAUUUCACAAGAGGACCAAGCACAUCAAGAGACGCUUCAAUUCCAUCCAAGACCAAGUCCAGGUGGGAGACAUAGAGAUUUGCAAGAUACAUACGGAUCUGAAUGUAGCAGACCCGUUGACUAAGCCUCUUCCAUGAGCAAAACAUGAUCAACACCAAGACUCCAUGGGUGUUAGAAUCAUUACUGUGUAAUCUAGAUUAUUGACUCUACUGCAAGUGGGAGACUGAAGGAAAUAUGCCCUAGAGGCAAUAAUAAAGUUAUUAUUUAUUUCCUCAUAUCAUGAUAAAUGUUUAUUAUUCAUGCUAGAAUUGUAUUAACCGGAAACAUGAUACAUGUGUGAAUACAUAGACAAACUUAAUGUCACUAGUAUGCCUCUACUUGACUAGCUCAUUAAUCAAAGAUGGUUAUGUUUCCUAACCAUAGACAUGUGUUGUCAUUUGAUUAAAGAAAUCACAUCAUUAGGAGAAUCAUGUGAUUGACUUGACCCAUUCCAUUAGCCUAGCACUUGAUCUUUUAGUAUGUUGCUAUUGCUUUCUUCAUGACUUAUACAAAGUUCCUACAACUAUGAGAUUAUGCAACUCCCGUUUACCGGAGGAACACUUUGUGUGCUACCAAACGUCACAACGUAACUGGGUGAUUAUAAAGGAGCUCUACAGGUGUCUCCAAAGAUAGAUGUUGAGUUGGCGUAUUUCGAGAUUAGGUUUUGUCACUCCGAUUGUCGGAGAGGUAUCUCUGGGCCCUCUCGGUAAUGCACAUCACAAUAAGCCUUGCAAGCAAUGUGGCCAAUGAGUUGGUUACGGAAUGAUGCAUUACGUAACGAGUAAUGAGACUUGCCAGUAACAAGAUUGAACUAGGUAUUGGAUACCGACGAUCGAAUCUCGGGCAAGUAACAUACCGAUGACAAAGGGAACAACGUAUGUUGUUAUGCGGUUUGACCGAUAAAGAUCUUCGUAGAAUAUGUAGGAGCCAAUAUGAGCAUCCAGGUUCCGCUAUUGGUCAUUGACCGGAAACAGUUCUAGGCCAUGUCUACAUAGUUCUCGAACCCAUAGGGUCCGCACGCUUAAAGUUACGAUGACAGUUUUAUUAUGAGUUUAUAUGUUUUGAUGUAUCGAAGGUUGUUCGGAGUCCCGGAUGUGAUCCUGGACAUGAAGAGGAGUCUCGAAAUGGUCGAGACAUAAAGAUUGAUAUAUUGGAAGCCUAUAUUUGGAUAUCAGAAUCGUUCCGAGAGAAACCGGGAUUUUUCUGGAGUACCGGGGGAGUUACCGGAACCCCCUCGGGGGUUAAUGGGCCUACAUGGGCCUUGAGGGAGAAGAGGAGGGACGGCCAGGGCAGGCCACACGCCCCCUCCCCCCUAGUACGAAUAGGACAAGGAAGGAGGGGGGAGGCGCCCCCCUUUCCUCUUUCCCCUCCCCCCUUUCCUUCUCUACCAAGGCAAGAGGGGGGAGUCCUACUCCCGGUGGGAGUAGGACUCCUCCAGGCGCACCCCUAAGGGGUCGUCCGCACCUCCCCCUCUCCUUUAUAUACGGGGGCAGGGGGGCACCUCUAGACACAAGUUGAUCAUCGUGAUCGUUCCUUAGCCGUGUGCGGUGCCCCCCUCCACCAUAUUCCACCUCGGUCAUAUUGUUGCGGUGCUUAGGCGAAGCCCUUCAUCGGUAGAACAUCAUCAUCGUCACCACGCCGUCGUGCUGACGGAACUCAUCCGACACCCUGCUGGAUCGGAGUCCGGGGAUCGUUAUCGAGCUGAACGUGUGCUGAACUCGGAGGUGUCGUACGUUCGGUGCUUGGAUCAGUCGGAUCGUGAAGACGUACGACUACAUCAACCGCGUUGUCAUAACGCUUCCGCUUUCGGUCUAUGAGGGUACGUGGACACACUCUCCCCUCUCGUUGCUAUGCAUGACCAUGAUCUUGCGUGUGCGUAGGAUUUUUUUUGAAAUUACUACGUUCCCCAACACAAGGUAGCCCAAUCCUUUUGAGACAAAGGACAGGCCAAAAUGGUAUCUUAUGAUAAGCAAAGUGUUCUUAAGGGUACACGGGAAUUUCAUCUAGUCACUUUCAUCAUGUUGGCUUAAUUUGUGUUCGCUACUUUGAUAAGUUGGCAUGUGGGUGGACCAGUGCUUAGGUGUUGUUCUUACUUAAACAAACCUCCUACUUAUGAUUAACCCCCUCGCAAGCAUCCGCAACUAUGAGAAAAGUAUUAAGAAUAAAUUCUAACCAUAGCAUUAAACUUUUGGUUCCAAUUGGUCCCUUACGGAAUAGCGCAUAAACUAGGGUUUAAGUUUCUGUCACUCUUGCAACCCAUCAUGUAAUAACUACUCCAAAAUGCAUUCCCUUAGGCACAAAUAUGGUGAAGUUUCAUGUAGUCGACGUUCACAUGACACCACUAAGGGAAUCACAACAUACAUAUCAUCAAAAUAUCGAACACAUAUCAAGUUCACAUGAUUACUUGCAACAUGGUUUCUCCUAUGACCUCAAGAACAAAAGUAACUACUCACAAAUGAUAAUCAUUCUCAAGAUCAGAGGGGUAUUAAAUAUCACAAUGGAUCUGAACAUAUAAUCUUCCACAAAAUAAACCAUAUAGUAAUCAACUACAAGAUGUAAUCAACACUAAUAGUCACCAGCAAGCACCAAUCUAUAGUUCUGGUACAAAGAUUGAACACAAGAGAUGAACUAGGGUUUGAGAGGAAUUGGUGUUGUUGAAGAUGUUUAUGGAGAUAGCUCUCCCAAGAUGGGAAAGUUGUUGGUGAUGAUGAUGACGAUGAUUUCCCCCUCCCGGAGGGAAGUUCCCCUGGCGGAAUCGCAACGCCGGAGGCCAAAAGUGCUCCUGCCCAGGUUCCGUCUUGAGACGGCGGCGCUUCAUCCCGAAAGUCCUCUCCUUAUUUUUUAUAGGUCAAAAUGACUUAUAUACCAGAAGAGGGGCACUGGAGGUGGGCCGAGGUGAGCACAACCCACCAGGGCAUGCCUGGGCUCCCUAGCGCACCCAGGUGGGUUAUGCCCACCUGGUGGGCCCCCUCUGGUACUUAUUGGCUCCGAUAAUUCUUAUUUAUUCCAUAAAAUAUCCUCAUGAAGUUUCAGCUCAUUUGGAGUUGUGCAGAAUAGGUAGCCCGGCGUAGCUUUUUCAGGCCCAGAUUUCCAACUGCCAGAAUCCUCCCCUUUUGUGUGUACAUUGCAUAUUAUGAGAGAAAAGGCAUUGGAAUUACUCCAAAAAGCAUUAUUAUGCAAUAAAACAACAUAAAUAACAAUAGGUAAACAUGAUGCAAAAUGGACGUAUCAACUCCUGAUAUGUCUCCAACGUAUCUACUUUUCCAAACACUUUUGCCCUUGUUUUGGACUCUAACUUGCAUGAUUUGAAUGAAACUAACCCGGACUGACGCUAUUUUCAGCAGAACUGCCAUGAUGUUGUUUUAUGUGUAGAAAAGAAAAGUUCUCGGAAUGUUCUGGAAAUCAAUGGAGGCACUUUUUGGAAUUAAUAAGAAUUUUUGGUGAAAGAAUUAAUGUCAGGGGGCCCACAGCCUGUCCACGAGACAGGGGGCGCCCCCCCUAGGGCGUGCCCCCCUAUCUCGUGGGCCCCCUGGACCUCCUCCGACCUCAACUCCAACUCCAUAUAUUCCGUCUCGGGGAGAAAAAAAUCAAGGAGAAAGUUUCAUCGCAUUUUACGACAUGGAGCCGCCACCAAGCCCUAAUCUCUCUCGGGAGGGCUGAUCUGGAGUCCGUUCGGGGCUCCGGAGAGGGGGAUUCGUCGCCGUCGUCAUCAUCAACCAUCCUCCAUCACCAAUUUCAUGAUGCUCACCGCUGUGCGUGAGUAAUUCCAUCGUAGGCUUGCUGGACGAUGAUGGGUUGGAUGAGAUUUACCAUGUAAUCAAGUUAGUUUUGUUAGGGUUUGAUCCCUAGUAUCCACUAUGUUCUGAGAUUGAUGUUGCGAUGACUUUGCUAUGCUUAAUGCUUGUCACUAGGGCCCGAGUGCCAUGAUUUCAGAUCUGAACCUAUUAUGUUUUCAUGAAUAUAUGUGUGUUCUUGAUCCUAUCUUGCAAGUCUAUAGUCACCUAUUAUGUGUUAUGAUCUGACAACCCCGAAGUGACAAUAAUCGGGAUACUUCUCGGUGAUGACCGUAGUUUGAGGAGUUCAUGUAUUCACUAUGUGUUAAUGCUUUGGUCCGAUUCUCUAUUAAAAGGAGGCCUUAAUAUCCCUUAGUUUCCACUAGGACCCCGCUGCAACGGGAGGGUAGGACAAAAUAUGUCAUGCAAGUUCUUUUCCAUAAGCACGUAUGACUAUUUACGAAAUACAUGCCUACAUUACAUUGAUGAAUUGGAGCUAGUUCUAUAUCACCCUAUGUUAUAACUAUUGCAUGAGGAAUCGUAUCCGGCAUAAUGAUCCAUCACUGAUCCAUUGCCUACGAGCUUUUCACAUAUUGUUCUUUGCUUAUUUACUUUUCCGUUGCUACUGUUACAACUACUACAAGAACCCAAAAACAUUUAUCUUUACUUUUGCUACCAUUACUAUUAUUAUCAUACCACUUUUGCUACUAAACACUUUGCUGCAGAUACUAAGUUAUCCAGGUGUGGUUGAAUUGACAACUCAACUGCUAAUACUCAAGAAUAUUGUUUGGCUCCCCUUGUGUCGAAUCAAUAAAUUUGGGUUGAAUACUCUACCCUCGAAAGCUGUUGCGAUCCCCUAUACUUGUGGGUUAUCAAGACUAAUUUCGGGCGCCGUUGCUGGGGAGCAUAGCUCUAUUCUCUGAGUCACUUGGGAUUUAUAUGUGUUGAUCACUAUGAAGAACUUGAAAGACGAUCGAAGUACUAUUUUGCCCUCAACUACGAGGGGAGGUAAGGAACUGCCAUCUAGCUUUGCACUAGAUUCUCCUUCCGUUAUUAGUAGGCUUGCGACACCUAAACCUGCUACUGCUAUGAAUUCUGAUAUGUCGCAUGUUAUUGAUGAUGCCACUUCUGCUAUGCAUGAUGAAACUACUUCUGUGCGUGAUACUACUUUGCCAUUAGGUGAAUUUCUAGAUGAACAACUUGCUAGAGUUAGGGGGAAUGAAAUUAUUGAAGAACCUAUUAUUGAUGAUAGUGAUGAUGAAGGUUCCCCCAAUGAUUAUGUAUUACCUGUUGUUCCUAAAGGUUAUGUUAUGAAUGAAGCAGCUGCUAUGGAAAUUCUUGCUUGCAAUGAUAAAAACGAUCUUAAGAAAUUAUUAGCUAAAUGGAAGCAGCAGUCUCUUAAUGCUAGAAUGAAACCCGAUCCUGCUUUUGCUACUUCACCUAUCUGUGUUACUGAUAAGGAUUAUGAAUUCUCUGUUGAUCCUGAUAUUAUUACUUUAGUUGAAUCUGAUCCUUUCUAUGGCCUUGAAUCUGAAACUGUUGUGGCACAUCUUACCAAGUUGAAUGAUAUAGCCACCUUGUUUACUCAUGAUGAGAAGUCUCGCUAUUUAUAUAUCCUUAAGAUAUUUCCGUUCUCAUUAAAGGGUGAUGCUAAGACUUGGUAUAAUUCUCUUGCUCCUGGUUGUGUGCGUAGUCCCCAGGAUAUGAUUUAUUACUUCUCUGCUAAAUACUUCCCUGCUCAUAAGAAACAAGCUGCCUUGCGGGAAAUAUAUAAUUUUGUGCAAAUUAAAGAAGAGAGUCUCCCACAAGCUUGGGGGAGGCUUCUCCGGUUACUUAAUGCUUUGCCUGAUCAUCCUCUUAAGAAAAAUGAAAUACUUGAUAUCUUUUAUAAUGGACUAACCGAUGCUUACAAGGACUACUUGGAUAGUUGUGCUGGUUGUGUUUUCAAGGAAAGAACAGUCGACGAAGCUGAAAUACUAUUGAAUAAUAUGUUGACUAAUGAAAAUAAUUGGACUCUCCCCGAGCCAGUUCCUGAAGUAAUUCCUGAACCAAUUGAGCCAACUCCUGAGCCUAUUCCUAAACCCACUCCGAAGAAGAGAGGUGUUUUAUUUCUCAGUCCUGAAGAUAUGCAAGAGGCAAAGAAAUCAAUGAAAGAAAAAGGUAUUAAAGCUGAAGAUGUUAAGAAUUUACCACCUAUUAAAGAAAUACAUGGUCUUAAUAUACCGCCUGAAGAACCACAUUGUCUUGAUAACCCGACACAGGUAGUAAAGGUAAAUUCUCUCUAUAGAUAUGAUAAAGUUGAAAUACCCUCUACUAAAUUUCAUAGCCCAUGCUUAGAUGAAUUUGAUGACUUUAUGGAUAGACAAGAAAGUUUUAAUGCUUAUGUUGGUAGAGAGUUAAAGAAUAAUGCUUUCGAGAUAGGACGCGUAGGUGAUAAUCUGGCUAGAGUUAAAGAUGAACUUCACCGCGUUAGCAAAUAUGCUUCUAUGGUUGCUACUCAAGCUGAGCAAGUACUUAAAGCUCAAAAUGAUUUGCUUGAUGAAUUAAAUAAUAAAAAUGACUUUGCGGUUAGAGUGGCUACUAGAACUGGUAGAAUGACUCAAGAACCUUUGUAUCCUGAAGGCCACCCUAAGAGAAUCGAGCAAGAUUCUCAGAGAAAUAAUUUAGAGGCACCUAGUUCUUCUAAGAAGAAGAAGAAGAAAAACGAUAGAACUUUGCAUGCUUCUAGUGAACCUACUGUAGACACACCUAAGAAUCCCAAUGAUAUUUCUAUUUCUGAUGCUGAAACACAAUUAGGUGAUGAACAUGAACCUAGUGAUAAUGUUAAUAAUAAUGUUCAUGUUGAUGCUCAACCUAGCAAAGACAAUGAUGUAGAGAUUGAACCUGCUGUUGAUCUUGAUAACCCACAAUCAAAGAAUCAACAUUAUGAUAAGAGAUGUUUUGUUGCUAGGAAGCACGGUAAAGAAAGAGAACCAUGGGUUCAGAAACCCAUGCCCUUUCCUCCUAAACCAUCCAAGUCAAAGGAUGAUGAGGAUUUUGAGCGCUUUGCUGAAAUGAUUAGACCUAUUUUCUUACGUAUGCGCUUAACUGAUAUGCUUAAAGUAAAUCCUUAUGCUAAGUAUAUGAAGGAUAUCAUCACAAAUAAAAGAAAGAUACCGGAAGCUAAAAUUUCCACCAUGCUUGCUAAUUACACUUUUAAAGGUGGAAUACCAAAGAAACUUGGAGAUCUGGGUGUUCCAACUAUACCAUGCUCCAUUAAAAGAAAUUAUGUUAGAACUGCUUUAUGUGAUCUUGGAGCCGGUGUUAGUGUUAUGCCUCUCUCUUUAUAUCGUAGACUUGAAUUGAAUAAGUUGACACCUACUGAAAUAUCUUUGCAAAUGGCUGAUAAAUCAACUGCUAUACCUGUCGGUAUUUGUGAGGAUGUGCCUGUUGUGGUUGCAAAUGUCACUAUCUUAAUAGACUUUGUUAUUCCUGUUAUUCCAGAGGACGAUAGUAUGUCUAUUAUCCUUGGUAGAUCUUUUCUUAAUACUGCAGGGGCUGUUAUUGAUUGCAACAAAGGCAAUGUCACUUUUCAUGUUAAUGGUAAUGAGCAUACAGUACACUUUCCGAGGAAACAAUCUCAAGUUCAUAGUAUCAAUUCUAUUGAAAAAGUUCCAACUAUCAUUUUUGGAGGUUUUGAAUUUCCUCUCCCUAGUGUCAAGAAAAAGUAUGAUAUUCUUAUUGUUGGGGAUUUUCAUAUCCCCGUCGAGGUUACUUAGUGUUAUUCGAAAUUUCUCCGGUUCCGUGUUAUUCGGAAUGAGCUUAUUAACAAGACUUGAUCAACCUUGUUAGUGGAUUCAUUUUGAUGCUCACGAGAUGGAUGAAACUAGAAGGCACAACCUUCUGUACCCUCUUUUUACUUUCUGUUAUUUAGAAUAAAUAAAGCAAAAUAGUAUUAUCCGUUUGUUUUCUGAAUUAUCCGUGCAUUAAAAAAUAGUUCGAAAAUAAAAGUGCUCCAAAUGCCCUGCAAAUUUAGUAUGAUUUUUUCUGGAAUAUUUGAGGAUUUUAGGCACUGAAAACACUGCAGAAGGGGCAAGCACCAGGCCACGAGAGAGGAGCCCCCCUGUAGGGCGCGUCCCCCUGUCUCGUGGGCCCCUGGUGGCUCCCCUCCACUUAUGCCAGCAUCCACACACUUCAUCUUCUACCCAAAAAAAUCCCCAUCCAGCUCAAACACGAGUUCUAGCUCGUUUUGCUGCAAUUUUCGAUCUCUUAGCUCAAAGCUCCAUUCGCAAAACUGCUUUGGGAGAUUGUUGCUUGGUAUGUGACUCCUCCAUUGGUCCAAAUAGUUUUUGUUCUAGUGCUUUAUUCAUUGCAAAUUUUUUCUGCAUAGGUAACCAUGUUCUUGAGCUUGCAUGUUAAAUUUUUGAGGUCCCAAGCAAUUCCAAUGCAUGAUAUAGGCUCUAGGCACUUGUAGGAGUAGUUGCUAUCAAUCUUGUUUAGUUUUAUUCACUUUUAUUUUGAAGUUACUAAAAUUUCAGAAAUUUUCAGAAAAAGAAAUAUGCUUAGAAGAAUGUACCAAGGAGGUUCCUCGGCAAAGAAAGGGCCAAGGAUUGCUAUACGUGAACAAGAUGUUAAUUUGCCAAGGGAUGCAAAUGUACGGGCUUGUGAGUGGCCAUUCGAUGAUUUUAUGGUCAAAGCAGGCUUCCAGGAGGAAUUUGACGUGUAUGUGCGUAAUGCCGAGCUGGAGGACUUCUUACAAGAUAAGUGUCCUCAAUAUUAUCAAUUGACUGAUUCCUUUGUGUGGAGGUUCGAAUAUAUUUCUGCGCGUAAUUCUCCUAGUGUCAUGUUUGAUAUUUAUGAUACAUCUUAUACCAUGGAUUUAGAGGAUUUCACAACUGCUUGCAAACUCCCGCAGUGGGGUAAUAUUAAUGAUCCUCCCAAAUCUGAAUUUAGAGAUUUUCUUGCUAGUAUUACUGUGGGAGAAUCGAGGGACGUAGCACAAGCUACCAUAGGGAGCAUUCAUUUUCCUUCUAUACAUUACUUUGCUCUCUUUAUUGGUAGAUGCAUUAACGGUAAGGACGAGGUAAGUCACAUGUGUGCCCCUGAUCUUAGUGUCCUCAAGAGUGCCGUGUCAGGUUAUAAAGGUUAUAACUUGGGGGCAAUAGUUGCACGUAGGUUGCAGAAUAAUAGUAGAAGGGGAGAUUUCUUUGGAGGAAUUUAUGCAACCCGUGUGGCUAAUUUUCUUAAUAUAGCUCCACGAGAGGGGGAUAUGAUUGUACCUCCUAUUUAUUUGGGUAAAGAAGCUAUGUUUGAUCAUCAUUUUCUUGAGAGGAAUGAACAAUUCGUCCAUUAUCGACUAAUCUAUGACAGACGCAACAUCAUCCCUGUUACUCUUCCUGCUCCCUACCUUUUUGAUUAUCAGGCAAAAGGAAGAUAUGUUGUCACCAGGGAAGAAGCAACUGAAUAUGAGAGGGGAAUGGAGGCAGCUCGCCAACACGCUGCUGCUCAGGAGGCGGUCGCCUCUGCAUCUCAGUACUACCCCAGUUUCACUUAUGGAUACCAGCCAGGCUGUCAUUGGUAUUAAACCAACUUAGGCCAAAAGCCUAAGCUUGGGGGAGUACAAAUUUCUCACCGACUUUACAUUCAUGUUCACACACUAGUUGUCGGUGCUCAUACUCUUUCAUUGUAUUAUCCAUGCUAGUUUAACUUUCUUUUUCUAGUUUUCUUCUUGUGUGUUUGAUAAACUUAAGAAAAAACCAAAAAAAAUUAGUUAGUUUAAUUUCCUUGCUUGUAGUAGAAAUUAAAAUGAAAACCCAAAAAGAUUUCUCGUUCUUCUUUUACUUGUUGGGAGCUUUCCCGUGUAAAUAGUUUUACUUUCUUUUUUUCCUUUGGGGGGUCGAGAAGACCAUAUUGAAAAUGCUUAGUGGCUCUUAUAUGCAUGAUUGUUUAUUUAACUUAGAGCCCAUAUUACUUGUCUUCUCUCUUGAUUUGAAUGCUUGCAGAUUCCAGCUUAGUCCAAUGCACGUGCACUCUUAUUAUUAUGCACAUCGUUCGGUCAUGCGAGUGAAAGGCAAUAAUGACGAUAUAUGAUGGACUUAUUGGGAUGAGAAAAGCUGGUAUGAACUCGACCUCUCUUGUUUUUGUAAAUAUGAUGAUUCAUCGUUCCUGAGUCAGCUAUUAUGAAGUAAACAUAUUUGCAAUGACAUUUAGAGAUUAUAGUUACUUGUGCCAUGCUUGAUUUGCUAUGAGUUAUAAUGGUUUACCUUGCGUGCCAACAUGCUAUUAGAAUAAUUAUGAUGUGAUAUGAUGGGAUGGUAUCCUCCUUUGAAUGAAUUGAGUGACUCGACUUGGCACAUGUUCACGCAUGUAGUUGAAAAAAAUCAACAUAGCCUUCACGAUAUUUAUGUUCAUGGUGGAUUAUAUCCUACUCAUGUUUGUGCUCGGUGUGAAUUAAUUUUAAUGCAUGUUUACGACUGUUGUCGCUCUCUCAGUUGGUCUCUUCCCAGUCUCUUGCUAGCCUUCACCUGUACUAAGCGGGAAUACUGCUUGUGCAUCCAAACUCCUUAAACCCCAAAGUUGUUCCAUAUGAGUCCACUAUACCUACCUAUAUGCGGUAUUUACCUGCCGUUCCAAGUAAAUUUGUAUGUGCCAAACUCUAAACCUUCAAAUGAAAUUAUGUUUUGUAUGCUCGAGCAGCUCAUGUUACAACUAGGGCUGCCUAUAGCUUCCAUGCUAGGUGGGUUAUUCUCACGAGGAGUGGACUCCGCUCCUCAUUCACGAGAAAGGGCCGGUAACCGAGAUGCCCAGUCCCAUGAUCCAAAAAGAUCAAAGCAAAUCAAAAUAAUUAAACAAAACUCCCCCAGGGAUGUUGUAUGUUGGAGGCACUCGUUGUUUCGAGCAAGCCAUGGAUUGAUACUUGUUGGUGGUUGGGGGAGUAUAAACCUUUACCAUUCUGUUUGGGAACUUCCUAUAAUGCAUGUAGUAUGGAAGAUACAUCCAUCUCUUAGUUGUUGUGUUGACAGCAAAAGUAUGCCGCUCAAAAUGUUAUUCAAUCUCUAUUUUAAAAUCGAGCUCUGGCACCUCUACAAAUCCCUGCUUCCCUCUGCGAAGGGCCUAUCUAUUUACUUUUAUGUUGAGUCAUCAUCCCUUCUUAUUAAAAAGCACCCGCUGGAGAGCACACUGUCAUUUGCAUUCAUUAUUAUUGGUUUAUAUUGGGUAUGACUUGAUUGGAUCUCUUUUACCAUGAAUUACAAUGUUUAGUCAGUCCUUGAUCUUUAAAGGUGCUCUGCAUUUAUGUUUUGCGGUCUCAGAAAGGGCUAACGAGAUACCAUUUUGUUAUAUCAUGUUAUGAUUAUUUUGAGAAAGUGUUGUCAUCCGAGUUUUAUUAUUAUGGCUCGCUAGCUGAUUAUGCUAUUGAUAUGAGUAAUUGUGAGACCUAUGUGUCAUUGUGAGUAUGGUUAGUUCAUAAUAAUUGCUGAAACUUGAAUGCUGACUUUUCAUGUUACAACAACAAGAGCAAACAGAGUUUGUAAAAGUUUUUCCUUAUCACUUUCAGUUUAUCAACUGAAUUGCUUGAGGACAAGCAAAGGUUUAAGCUUGGGGGAGUUGAUAUGUCUCCAACGUAUCUACUUUUCCAAACACUUUUGCCCUUGUUUUGGACUCUAACUUGCAUGAUUUGAAUGAAACUAACCCGGACUGACGCUGUUUUCAGCAGAACUGCCAUGAUGUUUUUUAUGUGUAGAAAAGAAAAGUUCUCGGAAUGUCCUGGAAAUCCACGGAGGCACUGUUUGGAAUUAAUAAGAAUUUUUGGUGAAAGAUUUAAUGCCAGGGGGCCCACAACCUGUCCACAAGACAGGGGGCGCCCCCCUAGGGCGCGUCCCCCUAUCUCGUGGGCCCCCUGGACCUCCUCCGACCUCAACUCCAACUCCAUAUAUUCCGUCUCGGGGAGAAAAAAUCAAGGAGAAAGUUUCAUCGCGUUUUACGACAUGGAGCCACGGCCAAGCCCUAAUCUCUCUCGGGAGGGCUGAUCUGGAGUCCGUUCGGGGCUCCGGAGAGGGGGAUUCGUCGCCGUCGUCAUCAUCAUCCAUCCUCCAUCACCAAUUUCAUGAUGCUCACCGCCGUGCGUGAGUAAUUCCAUCAUAGGCUUGCUGGACGGUGAUGGGUUGGAUGAGAUUUACCACGUAAUCAAGAUAGUUUUGUUAGGGUUUGAUCCCUAGUAUCCACUAUGUUCUGAGAUUGAUGUUGCGAUGACUUUGCUAUGCUUAAUGCUUGUCACUAGGGCCCGAGUGCCAUGAUUUCAGAUCUAAACCUAUUAUGUUUUCAUGAAUAUAUGUGUGUUCUUGAUCCUAUCUUGCAAGUCUAUAGUCACCUUUUAUGUGUUAUGAUCCGACAACCCCGAAGUGACAAUAAUCGGGAUACUUCUCGGUGAUGACCGUAGUUUGAGGAGUUCAUGUAUUCACUAUGUGUUAAUGCUUUGGUCCGGUUCUCUAUUAAAAGGAGGCCUUAAUAUCCCUUAGUUUCCACUAGGACCCCGCUGCAAUGGGAGGGUAGGACAAAAGAUGUCAUGCAAGUUCUUUUCCAUAAGCACGUAUGACUAUUUAUGGAAUACAUGCCUACAUUACAUUGAUAAAUUGGAGCUAGUUCUAUAUCACCCUAUGCUAUAACUAUUGCAUGAGGAAUCGCAUCCGGCAUAAUUAUCCAUCACUGAUCCAUUGCCUACGAGCUUUUCACAUAUUGUUCUUCGCUUAUUUACUUUUCCGUUGCUACUGUUACAACUACUACAAAAACCCCAAAACAUUUAUCUUUACUUAUGCUAUCGUUACUAUUAUUAUCAUUCCACUUUUGCUACUAAACACUUUGCUCUUGAUACUAAGUUAUCCAGGUGUGGUUGAAUUGACAACUCAACUGCUAAUACUCAAGAAUAUUCUUUGGCUCCCCUUGUGUCGAAUCAAUAAAUUUGGGUUGAAUACUCUACCCUCGAAAGCUGUUGCGAUCCCCUAUACUUGUGGGUUAUCAACUCCCCCAAGCUUAGACCUUGCUUGUCCACAAGCGAAAACCGAAAUCGAAAAACAUGUCCACAUGCUUAGAGAGAGAGGUGUCGAUAAAAAAAUACGGACAUAGAAGCAUCAUGUAACUUAUUAUAACAACAACAAACUUUAACAUAGAACUUUUAUCAUAGACUUCUCAUGAACAAGUAACAAUUCAUCACAACAUCUAAGUAUAAAGUAUAAACUCUAUUGGAAACCAACAAACUAUGUUCUCAGUCAACUUUUGCAACUACAAUUCACCAUCUUUUCAGAAAGGGUCACGUAUCGGAGCCUUUAGGCAAGUCCACAACUCAACCAUCAUACAGUCUUCUAUGAUUGCUAACACUUACCGCGUACACAUUAGCAAAACGUUUCAACCGAACACAUAGAAAGAUAGGGGAUUAUAGUUUUGCCUCCCACGUAUUCACCUCAAGGAUGAUGUCAACAAUAAUAACUCAUGCUACCCAUAUUCAAUUGGAUAUAUGUGCCUAGAUCUUUCCUCACCACAUGAUGCUUUCCAAAGGAGAAAAAUAAAAAUAAAUAGAGAGAAGAACUUUGACUCUUGCAUAAAAAUAAAAAGAAAUAAAAAGGUGUCACGCCCAAUAUGCGACCCUAUCCUAAAGGAACUCAAAGGUUCCACCAAGGAUAGAAGCGCAUAUUGGAGACACUUUUGCAAGGUGGAUAUCAUUACAUCAUACCAUUACAUAAUAGUUGGGGAUACAUACAAGAGGCACAUAAUGCCACACGAAUACAUCAACACAAUACAUAAGAGCAACAUCCGACUACGGAUGAAACACAAACAUAAACUCAAACGACAUCCACCCUGCUAGCCCAGGCUGCUGACCUGGAACCUAUCCCCUGAUCGAAGAAGAAGCAGAAGAAGAACUCCAAACAAGUAAACAUCGCCCUCGCAUCAUGAUCAUCGCAUUACCUGUACCUGCAACUGUUGUUGUAGUAAUCUGUGAGCCACGAGGACUCAGCAAUCCCAUUACCAUGGGUAUCAAGACUAGCAAAGCCUAAUGGGUAAGGAAGGGGUAAAGUGGUGAGGUUGCAGCAACGACUAAGCAUAUAUGGUGUCUAAUAUAUGCAAAUAAGAGCGAGAAGAGAGCAAAUGGAACGGUCGUGAAGCUAGCAAUGAUCAAGAAGUGAUCCUGAACUCCUACUUACGUCAAACAUAACCCAAAACCGUGUUCACUUCCCGGACUCCGCCGAAAAGAGACCAUCACGGCUACACACGCGGUUGAUGCGUUUUAAUUCGAAUCUGGUGUCAAGUUAUCUACAACCGGACAUUAACAAAUUCCCAUCUGCCACAUAACCGCGGGCAUGGCUCUCGAAAGUUUAUACCCUGCAGGGGUGUCCCAACUUAGCCCAUCACAAGCUCUCACGGUCAACGAAGGAUAUUCCUUCUCCCAGGAAGACCCGAUCAGUCUCGGAAUCCUGGUUUACAUGACAUUUUGACAAUGGUAAAACAAGACCAGCAAAGCCGCCCGAUGUGCCAACAAAUCCUGAUAGGAGCUGCACAUAUCUCAUUCUCAGGGCACACCGUAUAGGUCAGCCUACGAGUAAAACCAGCCCUCGAGUUGCCCCGUGGUGGCCCCGCAGUCUGCCCGGUUCGGACCAACACUCGAAGGAGCACUGGCCCGGUGGGUUAAAUAAAGAUGACCCUCGGGCUCCGGAAACCCAAGGCAAAAAGGCUUAGGUGAGGCAAAUGUAAAACCAAGGUUGGGCCUUGCUGGAGGAGUUUUAUUCAAAGCGAACUGUCAAGGGGGUCCCAUAAAUCACCCAACCGCGUAAGGAACGCAAAAUCAAGGAACAUAACACCGGUAUGACAGAAACUAGGGCGGCAAGAGUGGAACAAAACACCAGGCAUAAGGCCGAGCCUUCCACCCUUUACCAAGUAUAUAGAUGCAUUAAUUAAAUAAGAGAUAUUGUGAUAUCCCAACAUAAUCCUGUCCAUCAUGGAGCAAUCUUCGACUUCACCUGCAACUAGCAACGCUAUAAGAGGGGCUGAGCAAAGCGGUAACAUAGUCAAGCAAUGGUUUGCUAGGAAGGGUGAAAAGGUUAGAGGGUGACAUGUCAAUUUGGGAGGCUUGAAGAGCAAAUGAUAGGUACCGCAGGAUAGCGAUAGAACGAAGCAACUAGCAUAGCAAUGAUAGUAGUGAGAUCCAGGGUAGCGGUCAUCUUGCCUGAAAUCCCGCUAGAAAGAAGAACGAGUCCAUGAAGAAGAUGAAGCCACGAAGAUGAACCAAGCGUAGUCGAACGAAUCCUCGCAAUCGCAACGAAACAGGAACUAUCAAGAAAAAGCACAACCAGAAAGAGGCAAACAACAUGGUAAACUCACAAGCAUACUCAUUGCAUGAUGCACAAUCAAGUAUGAUGCAUGUCCGGUUUAAUGAGGCAUGGCAUGGCAAAGCGCAACAAACAAUACUACAAGUCAAGUGGAGCUCAAUAUUGAACGAGUUGCAUAUUGACCAAACCCCACAUUGACAUAUUUAGUUUAAUCCCGUUUAAGUUACCAAACAAUAUUAAAUGUUGUUAAACAUGGCAAGAGGUGAAGCAUAAUUAAACUACCUAUCUAGGCAAGUUUAAAUGAGGCCGGAACAACAAACAACAAUUUCGGAAAAUCCCCAUAUGAAUAUUUCGAAUUUGGUACUGUUCUGCCCUAAAACAUAUUUUAUUGUUGCUAAACAGGAAAAUAAAUUGCAGCAUGUUAAACUAGGAAUUUUUCCACCCCAUUUACAUAUAAAGUUUAUUUAAAACCGAUCUACGGUUAUUUAGUUAUGAAAUAAAUCAUUUUAACAUGGCAUUUAUGCAAAAUUAAACAAAUAGCAAGUUUAAACAUUUUAAACAUGGAUGAGAAUUGCAUAUUAUGAAACUAGAUGAAAUUCUAAGCACUUUUCAUGUUUAAAUUAUUUACAUAAGAUGCAUGGUUUGUGAGUAAUUAAAUGCAUGAACUAGGAGGAUUUUUCUGCAAAUCAGUAAAACCUCGAAUAAUUAGAAAAUCGCAGCAGCAGGAAAAAAAAUACACAACGGGCUAAAUCAAGCUGGCCCAACAGGAGGGUAAAUAGAGGAGGGGCGCUGGGGUGUGGCCUCACCCAGUGGGCCUGGGCCCAUCGGUGGAGAAGGAAGCAGCAUGUCGGCGUGGCUGGGCCGGACGAGCGAGAUGCGGCCAGGCAUGGGCGGUUGGGCGUCGUGGUCGCGAUCCACGUAGGCAAGGAAGGCGCGGUCAACGCAGCGAGCAGAGGCGCGUCGUCCUCCCUUCUCGAACGAUGCAGAGGAGGCGAGCAGGGCGCUGGGGCAGCAGGUCGACGCUGCAGGGGCGUCCGAAGGCGGCGACGCUUGGCGUCAGGAGGCAUGGGCGCUUGGACGGGGACUUGGGGACGAGCUCCCGGCGACGAGGCGCUGGCGUUGCAUCUCGCUCGUCCAGAGAACGAGCGGGCCAAGCAGGGAUCCAGGCGCCCGAUGGCUUGAAGAUGGCGCGGCGGCAGACUUGGCGCAGCUGCAGACGGCGCCAGGGACGGGGAAACGGGAGGUGGCCGGAGGAGCGCGAAACAACGAAGAGGAGGCCAGUUCAAGGCGAUGUAGUCAACGGCGUGGGGCGGUUGCAGCUGCCGCUUGUUGCAGAGGAGAUGCGACGCGGGGACGGACUUGCAGCAGCGGGCGCGGCGGAGGAGGCCAGGAUGGUGAGGUCGCCGGGGCCCUGGGCGGUGGAGGUCGUUCCCGGCGGUGGGCUUGACGGAUCGAGGCAAGAGAAGGCCCUGGGUGGCCAUGGCGGAGCUCCUGUUGACAAGCAGAGAGAGCGAGUUGAGAGAACGAGGAUGACAAAGGUAGAAGGAAAGGAAGUGGCGGCGUUGUACUCAUCUGCUAGCUAUGGUGAGCUGCUGUUUGCUCGGGGACAGAAGGACGGGCGCCACGGGAGGAGUAGGAUGCUCGGGGUUGCUGGUGCGGCUCAAUGUCGGGAGGAUGGAGAGGACAGAGCAAGGCGGCGGUGGAGCAUCCAGGCACGGGGAAGUGGCCUGGUGGUGUGGUGGUCGGGGUGGAUCGAGGGGAGGAGGUGGUGAUUGGUGGGUUUGGAUCGGGAGGGAUCCCGAUGUGGGAUUUGAGUGCGGCGGCGGCGGCGGGGACAAAUGUCCUAGAAUCUAAGGUUUGGUCUAGAAAUGGACUAGGGGUCUAUAUAUACGAAAGGGGAAAGAUUUGGAUUCUCCGAUCGCGAUCGGGUGGUCCGGAAUAAAUGGGUUAGGGAGUCCAAAAGAGAAACCGAAGAUAAAUAGGGGACGAUCCGGACCCAAUGGUGAUGACUGAGCGGGUCGGGUUCGGGAGAAGUUUUCGGACGCGCGCAAGAGGGGGUCGGAGCACUAUGCAGAGAGGUUAUGCAGCCAGACAAGAGGGACUCGGAAAACCUGGUUGGUCUCAGAACGGUCAAUGAAAGCAAGGGGGGACGCGGCAACUACGAACGGAUGCAAGUUUUAAAAACAAUGACAGUAGCGAGUGCCGAUGCAAUGCGGAUGAUGCCAUGAGAUGAGAUGCAUGACAUGAACAAAAUGCAAAACAGAAGACAAAUGCCCAACCACGAAGGAGAUAACACAACACAUAGCCGGAAAUGUCAAGAGUUGGAGUUACAAUUAUAGAAAGUUACAUCCGGGGCGUUACAACACUCCACCACUACGAGAGGAUCUCGUCCCGAGAUCUAGGAUGGCAUCGGAGGGAAAAGGAAGAGGAAGAUAAGAGGUAAACUAAGUUGCUUCUUUGACAAACGAGUGAAACCAUGAACCUUGAGAUGUUGAGCAAAAAGAAAGAAAGAAAACAACUAAGAUGAUCAAAGUUGAAAACACUCCAUUAGAAAAGAGGAACAAGGGAUACGACGAGAACCAAGAGGUUUAGUGAUAAGAUAGAUAUUGAAACCACUCCGGUUAAAACUAGAUAGAGAAGGGAUAAGAUUGAUAUAAUUUGGGCAGCACUCCGACUGAAAGAAGAAGGAAAACUUGAUAAGAUGAGAAGAACUUGAAGAAAAGACACAACACUCCGGUUAAAUGGAUAAGCAUGAAAAGAACACGAUCCUCACAAUUCGAGAUGAUGAGUGAAAAGAGCAACAUCACAAUGUCUCAGGAAGAAAGAAUAGAAGAUAGAUCAUUGGAAUAACAGAAUGGAGUAGAAAAUGCCAACUUCUGCCACAAAUGAGCUUGGAAAGCACCCUUCCAAGAAGGUUAUAACGGAGUUGUUGGAAAACCAACAACGAAAAGAAUAAGCUUGUAGUGGGCUUAUGGAGAACGUCUCAAAAUUAUAAGUUAAAUUCUGCCACUACAAAAAAAAAA
rnacentral:lncRNA from 1 species